UUUGAGAAUUAUAAUAUCGAAGACACGCAGUGGCGGCUCUAUACGUCUAAAAACAAAUCCUCGGUUUGGUAGUUUUUGUUCAACACGUCAUAUAAAAUCCGGUUGAUGGUGAACCGGAGUAGCGCAAACGACCCCGACAGCGAUAAGUUCGUCGACGUUUCUCCGAGGCAUUUUCAUCUCGCCGUACACACAACGUACAUAUAUGUGCACGUACCUUCGUGUGUGUGCACAACACGCCAUCGUGCGUCUAGUAGACACGAGGCUCUAAAGGAUUUUAAUAUCCUGCUUCGUUCUCUUCUCGGCACACUGCAUUGACGGUACAAUCUACUACACGAAGCGACCCACGCAACACAAACGUAAACAGACGAGUGUGUGGGACACGUGACACGUAUUAUAGAUCGAUGGGGGGGCUUUCUACUAACCUCUUUUUGUUGACCAUUCAAACCAAAGAUGUUCUCAUCGAUCGGAUAAAAUUGCGACAAAGUCCUCGUAUUACUGUACUUGAACCCAUUAUUUUGCAAAAGACCAAAGAGUUUGGAAACGACGCGAUUCACGUUGUAACUCAUGAUGUACAAUUAAUACAAAAGUGCGUAUUGAUCAAGUCAA